CGUAAGCGUAUACCAAAGUUGUUGCAGUUAAAACGCUCGUAGUCGGAAUUUGGCAGUUCCGGAUGUGUGCACGUCGUGUGCGCACUUCGCGGGGAUUGCUUUUGUGGUCUUGCGUAGGAUGAGGCACUUUUAUUAGUGAACGUCCUCACGCAACCACUUUUUACUGUGAGAAAAUCAGAGUGCUCAAAGCAGGCAUUUGCCGUGAAUGUAUUAGCAUGGAAUAAUAGAAUAGGACUUGGUUCUAUUUUGUUGGUUUGUUGGGACUGAGUAAUGAUUAAGAGGGACAGUUGGGGGCAUUUGUAUUUCGGUGCUAGAGGUGAAAUUCUUAGAUUACCGAAAGACAAACUGCUGCGAAAGCGUCUGCCAAGGAUGUUUUCAUUGA
rnacentral:rRNA from 1 species